rnacentral:tRNA from 1 species
GGCUUGCUGGUCUAGUGGUAUGAUUCUCGCUUCGGGUGCGAGAGGUCACCGAUUCGAUUCCCGUGCAAGCCC